AGGGUGAGAACUGAAGCAGGGAGAACUGGGAGGGGUCGAGCGGCCCGGGAUCUAUGGGACACCCGACAGGCCCUUUGCACGCACCACGCACCUGCAGCCACGAUGUGAGAGAGGUGCUGAGAACCCGGUGCUGGGAAGGGACCUUUCCAGGGAAAUGCCUGCCAAAAGGUUUAAGGCUGUCGACAAGCAGCAUGUGCUGGGACAGAGGCAGCUGCAGAGUCCCCAGGCAUCUUUGAAGACCGGAGCCCACCAUGCCCCACCUGCUUCCUCCCACCGGACCCUGCUCCACCCUGCAGAGCAAGCACCUCUGCCCUCCCACGCACGCCCCCGCCUCCAAGAGCUCAAGGCCAGGAUCAGCGCUGGGCAGAGGUCAGUUCAACUGGGUUGCUGCAGGCUAGUGACUUGGUGCAAAGUGCAACUUCUUUGCAAAUGUCCUCUGCUCCCUCCUCUGCUGAACCCUGGGUCCUAACCCCUGAUGGUGUCUUUCUUCCAGUUGGCCCGGUUAGACUAGUGAAGCUGCAAAGUAUGGGCUUAGUUAAGCAUGCAGGAUGCCUGGAACUGUUGAAGCCCGUGAAUAAAAUGGAUUCAUUUGUUCUGGCUGAGGACAGGAUGGAGAUUCGGGGUGGGGUGGGGUGUGAAAAUGAACAAGGUAAUUUUUUUAGUGUCUUUUAUAGAUCACAUGUCACUUUGUUAGUUUACGAGCAUUAAAAAUGUAUAACAUAGAGCUUGUUCUGCUCAUAAAAUGAUCCUCUUUGGCAUAUUAAAAUUUAAAGUAUAGUUUAUUCAGGCAGUAAUUACACUUUUACUAAUUGAAUUUACCUCUAAAUAUUUCAAAGUUUUGUAAUAAAUUGAGCUACAAGAUACUGAGCCUCAAGGUGUUUGUAUACAAUGGUGUUUGAGAAAUGGGCAAAACCCUUGACAACAGAAGAAAUCAGCAGCAUUGGAAUAAAAUGGGAAAAGGCUUUCUGUUUUCUGGCGUUUUCUAAUACCUACAGUAAGGACAAGAACCCAAGUAAUAUGCGACACGGUCCUUCACUUUUUAAGUUCCUUGACUUAUCUUACUUUGAUUUUCACAACAAAAGCAGAAAAAGAGGUUUGUAUUUAAAAAUAAGGAAGAGGUCACUCAGAGAAGCUGGGCAACUUGCCCAUGGUCACACAGGGAUAGCCGAGUUCAGGAUCCCCUUCGGAGCCGAAAUCCCACGGUCACUCCAGGUCAGAGAGAUGAUGAGAAAGGCUGCCACAACGCUGUGAAUUAACGCCCCUGAAUCGUAUAUUUAAAAAUGGCUAAAGGGGUGCCUGGGUGGCUCAGUCCGUAAGCAUCUGCCUUCUACUCAGGUCAUGAUCCCAGGGUUUUGGGAUCGAGCCCCACAUCAGGAUCCCUGCUCAAU